CCGAAACUGCCUCGGGGCGCUGGGGGGCGGGGAUCCAGUUUCGUUUCUGAUCCUAGAGAGCCACUGAUCCGGUGGGACCUAGAAGUACCUUGGGAACUGCCUUGAAGUUUGGGCGCAGCUUUUGGCGUGGUGUAAGGGUUUCUCCAUGUAGCCUUGACUGUCCUGGAACUCCAUCUGUAGACUGGCUGCCUCAAACCACAGAGCUCCAAUCCCGCCUGCUUCAGCCUCCCAAGUGCUGGGACUAAAGAUCUGGUGGUGCCACCGUCGUCGCACCAAUAUCAGGCCUUAUAGAAGAGUUGAGGGAAAGAUUGUGGCCCCCGAAGGGGACAGGAACUCCAAAGGAAGACCAACAGGAGUCAACAAACUUGGAUCCUUAGGGCUCCCAGAGACUGAACCACCAACCAAAGAGCAUACACCGGCUGGACCUAGGCCUCCCAGCACAUUUGUAGCGGAUGUGAGUUUAGUCUUUAUGUGGGUCACAAACAACUGGAGCGGGGGCUAUCCCAAAAGCUGUUGUCUGUUUGUGUAAUUUGUUUCUUCUAGCUGCGGUGCCUUGGCCUCCUCAGUGGGGAAAGAAUGCACCUAGCACUGCAGAGACUUGAUAUGCCAGGGUCAGGGGAUAGUCAGUGGGGCCCCCAACCGCUCAGAGGAGUAGGGGAGGGGGCAUGAAGUGACCAGGAGGGGAGCAAUAAGUGGGAUGUAAAGUAAAUACGUUUAAAAAAAAAAAGAACAAUAAAAAAAAUUUUUUUAAAUGCCCUA